ACCUCAAAUCAGGCAAGAAUACCCGCUGAACUUAAGCAUAUCAAUAAGCGGAGGAAAAGAAACUAACAAGGAUUCCCCUAGUAACGGCGAGUGAAGAGGGAAAAGCUCAAAUUUUAAAUCUGCCUUGUUUCAAGGUCGAGUUGUAAUUUGAAGAAGCGUUUUCUUGGGCUCGCGGCCGGUAGAAGUUCUUUGGAACAGGACAUCAUAGAGGGUGACAAUCCCGUCUGCGACCGGUCGUGUGUUCAUCUACGAUACGCUUUCAAAGAGUCGAGUUGUUUGGGAUUGCAGCUCCAAAUGGGUGGUAAACAUCACCUAAGGCUAAAUAUUGGCGAGAGACCGAUAGCGAACAAGUACCGUGAGGGAAAGAUGAAAAGAACUUUGAAAAGAGAGUUAAACAGUACGUGAAAUUGUUGAAAGGGAAACGAUUGAAGUCAGUCGUGCUGGCGCGAAAUCAACCCUCUCGUCGAGAGAUCACAUGGCGUGGCGAGCCUCAAAACCGUCACGAAGCGUGAGCUCUUGGCGAAAGGGAGCACUUUCGUGUCCGCUGGUUAACAUCAAUUUCGAACGUCAUAAAAAGGCUGGAGGGAUGUGGCUCCUUCGGGAGUGUUAUAACCUUUAGCGGAAUGUGGUGGUCGGGAUUGAGGAUUGCAACGAAUACCUUUAGGGCUGUUCCACCUGGCCUCUCUCUGGUAUCCUGGUGACGACAGCUUGCUGACGUCGUUAGGAUUCGCCUUUGAACGGGCUAGAGUGUGAGCAAAUUCGUUAAGGAUGUUAACGUAAUGGCUUUAAACGACCCGUCUUGAAACACGGACCAAGGAGUCUAGCAUAUAUGCGAGUGUUCGAGCGUCGAAACUCGAGCGCGAAAUGAAAGUGAUAUUGGUAAGAUCCUCUUCCCCUCGGGGGAGCGGAGCAUUAUCGACCGAUCUGGAUAUUCUUUGAUAGAUUUGAGUAAGAGCAUAUCUGUUAGGACCCGAAAGAUGGUGAACUAUGCCUGAAUAGGGCGAAGCCAGAGGAAACUCUGGU
rnacentral:rRNA from 1 species